CAGAGUUCAUGCCCUAAACGGGUAGACCUCCCACCCUUGGAUAUUAUACCUUUGUUGCUUUGGCGGGCCGCCACGGCCACUGGCUUCGGCUGGUGAGUGCCCGCCAGAGGAUCACAAACUCUGAAUUUACAGUGUCGUCUGAGUACUAUACAAUUAGUUA
rnacentral:misc_RNA from 1 species